AAACGACUCUCGGCAACGGAUAUYUYGGCUCUYGCAUCGAUKAAGAACGCAGCGAAAUGCGAUAMWUGGUGUGAAUUGCAGAAUCCCGUGAACCAUCGAGUCUUUGAACGCAAGUUGCGCCCGAAGCCUUCGGGCCGAGGGCACGUCUGCCUGGGCGUCACG
rnacentral:rRNA from 1 species